UUUUAAUGAGAGCCUGGUGUCUGGGUCAAUGCCACUCUCAUGUCGGAGAGCCGUAAUUACCCUCUUGCCCAAGAAAGGCAAUUUGCAAGAAAUCAGAAACUGGCGUCCUGUCUCUCUCCUCUGCACUGACUACAAAAUACUGUCCAAAGUCUAUGGUAGAUAAUAUCUACCUCAUUCGGGAUGUUUUGGAGGUCUCCAGUUCAUUAGGCAUAAACACUGGAUUGAUCUCAUUAGAUCAAGAAAAGGCUUUUGACCGCGUUGAACACGACUUCCUUUGGAAGGUCAUGGAGAGGUUUGGGUUCAGCGCUGGUCUCAUAGCCAUCAAAGUGUUGUACAGUGACAUUGAGAGUGUGCUAAAGUUUAAUGGUGGCUUGUGUGCUCCUUUUAGAGUGCAUAGAGGCGUCCGGGAUGCUCUAUGCACUCUCCCUGGAACCCCUCUUACAAAAGAUAAGAUCAUCUGUUCGAGGCCUGUUUUUACCUGGUUUUAACAAUAGCGUUGUUUUAUCUGCUUAUGCUGACGAUGUCGUUGUUUUUAUCAAAGAUCAACAGGAUGUGUGUGUUUUAAAUUCUGUAAUCGAGAAGUUUUCUGUUGUGUCGGCUGCGAGGGUGAACUGGAGGAAGAGCGAGGCUCUUGCUGUUGGUGAAUGGCGGGAGGGCCUCCCUGUUCUCCCUCAAAGCCUGAUAUGGAGAAGAGUAGGCUUAAAGUAUCUCGGUAUUUAUCUCGGAAACAGCGACAUUGGAAAGAAAAACUGGGAAAACAUUUUAGAAAAAGUGGAUAACAAACUGGCUAAGUGGAGGUGGCUUCACCCACAAAUAUCUUUUAGAGGGAGGGUCCUAAUUUUAAACAAUCUGGUGGCCUCCAUGUUAUGGCACCGGUUAGCUUGUCUGGACCCUCCAACAGGUCUCAUUGCCCAGAUCCAGGUGAAGAUUGUCAAUUUCUUCUGGAACAAAUUGCACUGGAUACCACAGUCUGUAUUGUUUUUAUCCAGAGAUGAGGGGGGCCAGGGCCUGGUCCACCUGGCUAGCAGGACAGCCACCUUCAGGCUCCAGUUCAUUCAAAAGUAUCUGACUGGACCUGAAGAUCUGGUGUGGAGAGACGUGGCCAGCUGCAUACUCAGGCGUGUCAAUAACCUGGGGCUGGAUGCUGCUCUGUUUUUAACUGAUUUUAAAUUCUUAAAGUUAGGUGGGUUGCCUCCUUUUUAUCAGGGUGUUUUUAAAUCCUGGGGGCUUUUANNNNNNNNNNNNNNNNNNNNNNNNN
rnacentral:lncRNA from 15 species